CCUACGGGUGGCAGCAGUGAGGAAUAUUGGUCAAUGGACGAGAGUCUGAACCAGCCAAGUAGCGUGCAGGAUGACUGCCCUAUGGGUUGUAAACUUCUUUUAUAUGGGAAUAAAACAGGGUAUGUAUACCCUCUUGUAUGUAUCAUAUCAAUAAGGAUCGGCUAACACUGUGUCAGCAGCCGCGGUAAUACGGAGGAUCUGAGCGUUAUCCGGAUUUAUUGGGUUUAAAGGGAGAGUAGGUGGCUUGUUAAGUCAGUUGUGAAAGUUUGCGGCGCAACCGUGUAAUUGCAGUUGAAACUGGCAGUCUUGAGUACAGUAGGGGUGGGCGGAAUUCGUGGUGUAGCGGUGAAAUGCUUAGAUAUCACGAAGAACUCCGAUUGCGAAGGCAGCUCACUGGACUGCAACUGACACUGAGGCUCGAAAGUGUGGGUAUCAAACAGGAUUAGAUACCCCGGUAGUC
rnacentral:rRNA from 1 species